UACGUAGGUGGCAAGCGUUGUCCGGAAUUAUUGGGCGUAAAGAGCUCGUAGGCGGUUUGUCGCGUCGGCUGUGAAAACUCGGGGCUCAACCCCGAGCCUGCAGUCGAUACGGGCAAACUCGAGUGCGGUAGGGGAGACUGGAAUUCCUGGUGUAGCGGUGAAAUGCGCAGAUAUCAGGAGGAACACCGGCGGCGAAGGCGGGUCUCUGGGCCGUAACUGACGCUGAGGAGCGAAAGCGUGGGGAGCGAACAGG
rnacentral:rRNA from 1 species